rnacentral:lncRNA from 1 species
CCAGUAAUGUAGGAAAUUUAUCUAAAAAUCUAUAUAUUAAAACAGUAUGGAAUCAUCUUAAAGUUAGAAAUGUGGGAAUUUUCUUUUGCGUGAUUCAAGAAUUUAUUUUUAUCUUUCCUUUCAUUGUAGAGUGUCCUCUAGUGCUCUAAGGAAUCAAAAAUUAUUUUUUGGAAAUAUAUUAUUCAAAAUAAUUUGUCCCCAUUUCACUUUGGAGAAUCAUGUUAGUCACCUAUAAUACUCAACUACUCAAAUUCUUAUGUAUUCUGAUGGCUCCAAACCCAUUAUACCUGCUACUUCCAUACUUAAGUGAGCCCAGGUGCCGCUUGCACACAUUCUGAUUUAGCAGGUCCAGGCUAAGGCUUAGAGAUCUGCUACUUAACAUCCCAGGUGAUUCUGAUGCAGAUUUUCCAUGGACCAUGAUUUGAGAAACACCACUCUACAUACCCUUUCUCUGUGUUGCUUUUCAGAAAGAGCUCAAUGAUUAUUAAGUCGCUUUUCUUAUAGUAAAUAUAUCUUUCUCUCUCUGAGGGUCAAACUGGUACAAUCCACACUUCUGUCAGGUUACUGGCCAUCCUAUGAGUCACUACUUCACUUUCUUCUUCCUUUUAAAUGGACAUAUCUGGGGGAAGAAAGGUAUGGAUGAUUCAAAAGGCAUGUCCCCAUAGGAUGAAAUGAGUACAGAUCUGCUGGCUGCUGGACACUGUACAAAAGCCCCAAAUACUAAGGACCAGCAUUGUGCAGCCCCAGACCCUUAGGCAGUCUGGCUGAGAUGUCCGUCACUGAUUGAUGGGACAAAAGUCAUAAUAUAAACCCUCUUUUUCAAAAUUAAGAUGUGGGACUUAAAAUGUCCCUGAGCAAAACUCCUUACUCAAAGAACAAAUUUCAAAAUUGUAAUCACUGAUGUAUGUGCACUGUGCUUUGUGGCACCAUGCACCAUUUGCAGUCUAUCUUAAAUAAAGAAUACUGGCAAUCCCUUAACUUGUGAGAUCUCUAUAACAUCCAAAUGGUAGCUUAAGACUGUCAUGUCCUGCAGUGGUACAAGAAAAUUCAUAUGAUCUAGUUCUUAUUCCAAGGAUUUAUUUUUAUCUUACUAACCCUUUAGCUCAAGAGACUUCACCGCCUGAUCUGCAGGUAACAGUUUGGGCUUCCUUACCUCUUUCUAUCUCCACCAAAAAGACUAGUUAAG